rnacentral:rRNA from 1 species
GUGUCAGCCGCCGCGGUAAGACAGAGGAGGCAAGCGUUGUUCGGAAUCACUGGGCUUAAAGCGCGUGUAGGCGGCUCGGCAAGUACCUUGUGAAAUCCCUCGGCUCAACCGAGGAACUGCUGGGUAUACUGCCGGACUUGAGGCAGGUAGGGGCCACUGGAACUCUAGGUGGAGCGGUGAAAUGCGUUGAUAUCUAGAGGAACGCCCGAGGCGAAAGCGGGUGGCUGGGCCUGUCCUGACGCUGAGAUGCGAAAGCGUGGGUAGCGAACGGGAUUAGAUACCCCGGUAGUCCACGCCCUAAACGAUGCGCACUAGACUCGAGAGUCUCUGACGGCGUUCGGGUCGAAGCAAAAGUGUUAAGUGCGCCGCCUGGGGAGUACGGCCGCAAGGCUAAAACUCAAAGGAAUUGACGGAGGCUCACACAAGCGGUGGAGCAUGUGGCUUAAUUCGAAGCAACGCGCAGAACCUUACCCGGGUUUGACAUGCUUGGAUUAGCUUCUUGAAAGGGAAGUGACGCGGCUUGCCGUGGAACUUGCACAGGUGCUGCAUGGCUGUCGUCAGCUCGUGUCGUGAGAUGUCGGGUUAAGUCCCAUAACGAGCGAAACCCUUGUCGCUAGUUGCCAGCGGGUCAUGCCGGGAACUCUAGCGAGACUGCCGGUGUUAAACCGGAGGAAGGUGAGGACGACGUCAAGUCAUCAUGGCCCUUAUGCCCGGGGUUGCACACGUGCUACAAUGGGGCGGUACAGAGCGAUCCAAGACCGCGAGGUGGAGGAAAUCGCAGAAAACGCCCCCCAGUUCGGAUUGCAGGCUGCAACUCGCCUGCAUGAAGUCGGAAUCGCUAGUAAUCGCGUAUCAGCUACGACGCGGUGAAUGUGUUCCUGAGCCUUGUACACACUGCCCGUC